ACAGAAGGGAGAUCCAUCACUUUAGAAGUAAUGGAUUAGGAACUAUGAAAGAACCAAGCCUCUCUCCAGCAAAGACGGAGAAUCUCGUGGAGUUGGUUUGGAAGCAAAGGAAGUGCUGACCAGAGGCAUGUGCAGUGAAGUGACGCCGAGAUGAGGAGAGUGUGUUGGCGAGUUCAGGUCCCAUGGCUGCAACAGGAAAUAACCUGAAGGAGAAUAUUCUGUCUGCAGGACUCACCGGUCACUAGCAUGUCUUCGGGAACCUCUUCAAUGAUGCAUUUCUCCUCCUGCUCUCCAAGAUCAAAAUACAUGGCAGCUGCC